CACACACACACACACACACACAGGAAGACAAAUACACAGUGGCUCAGGUAAACAAUGGAAUACAUUAUUGGAACUUGUGUUUUUCUUCAGUCUUCACUGAAAAGUAAAGGAAGAUAGGAACAAUUUAUUGCAAAUGAAGGCACAUUGCAGGAAAUGAGCAGCACCGAGAUUUGGAACCCUUUCCUAGGUUACUCUGUGAUGAAAAUUGACCCAUAUUUGUCGGAAUCAGAACCUGAAGUUUCCAAAAGACAUCUCACGCAUCAGAGGCACACUUGUUUUACAUCCUUCCUCUCCUCAGUGCACAAAGAAUUAACAUAGCAAAGGAAUGCAUGAGGGCACAAAUGGUAGGAGUUCUUUCAGGAUUAGCAAUAUCAAUCAGUCCUCUUUUGUCGAGCUCACACAUUUUUCAGAAGACGUUGCAGACAAGCACACAUACAUGAGUCACACACUCCAAAAGUGACCAGGAAGCGGACAGUAAUGGCACCCAUCUGUCCCAAUCGGUAUCUGGGACCAUUGUAUGACCAGUAGUCAUAUGAAAUGUGCUGUGUACAUUGAAGAGAUAAGUUUGUAAAUUCCAUUCCAAAGAAAACAAGAGUAUGACUGGAAAAUGUUGUUGGAAAAGAAAGACGUAAAAAUGUAAGGAUUCUAUUACGUGUCCUUUGGGAAUCAAGCCAGGACAAUAGCUGCCUGUGUUGUUACAGAACACAUUCAGAAUUGAGAUACAUUGUUCUUUGAACCUUCCGUAGGUCAUACAAUCCUUCUACCAAUAUUAGAAGAAAUUGCAGCUUGUCGAUUUGAUCACCGUGGCAAUAAAAAUGCCAAACAGUAACGAGUGAUCUGUGUGGUUGGAAAUUUUUUAAAAGUUAGGAUAAAAUAUGUAAUGUAUUUACAUGCAUUGGAACACUUGGGCAAAAUGUUCAAGGGCAGAGUGAGAGCCACCCUCAGGUCACACCUGACCAAUGAAUGAUAUGAGUUAUAACAACUUUGAACACACGAUGGAUAGAGAUGCUUCAUCAGCAGUUUGGGAUCCUCUCUUCUCUUUCGGUGUAUUGGGUAAGUAUGAGUUGCCUAGUCAUGGGCCCUUAAACUUGGAAUAUACAAAAGGAGUCUUAAGUUAGGAUGUUUUUCAGAAAUAUAUAGAGAAUGGAAACCAUAUGCCUAUCAACGUAAUGUCCUUCGUUUUGCCAACUUCUUAAGGAAACUCUGGGAAAUGUCUGCAGGACAGAAGAAUCCAAUGUUUCCAGGGAUGGCAUGGUAUGAAAUGCAGAUAGCGGGAAUGAUAGUGGAUGGAGGGAAGAGGAAUGUAAACUGACAGAACUUAAAAUGGGAGAAGCCCAACACCAUACAAGUUGGGUGGGAACAGUCAACCUGCAGGAGAAGUGCAUGCAAAUGGAUGGCUUAGACAUAAAAUGGCAGGGGUCUCACAGGGGCCAAGAAACCAGGCGUCCUAAGGAGCUAUGGAAGUAGACGAAUCUCAGACAACUUACCG
rnacentral:lncRNA from 1 species